rnacentral:rRNA from 1 species
UGCGCAGGUGGCCGGGUAAGUCUGAUGUGAAAUCCCGCAGCUUAACUGCGGAAUGGCAUUGGAUACUAUUCGGCUAGAGGGUUGGAGGGGGGACUGGAAUUCUCGGUGUAGCAGUGAAAUGCGUAGAUAUCGAGAGGAACACCAGUGGCGAAGGCGAGUCCCUGGACAACUCCUGACACUGAGGACAAGCUAGGGGAGCAAACAG